rnacentral:rRNA from 1 species
GCACAAGCGGUGAUGAUGUGGUUUAAUUCGAUGCAACGCGAAAACCUUACCCACCUUUGACAUGUACGGAAUUUGCCAGAGAUGGCUUAGUGCUCGAAAGAGAACCGUAACACAGGUGCUGCAUGGCUGUCGUCAGCUCGUGUCGUGAGAUGUUGGGUUAAGUCCCGCAACGAGCGCAACCCUUGUCAUUAGUUGCUACAUUUAGUUGGGCGCUCUAAUGAGACUGCCGGUGACAAACCGGAGGAAGGUGGGGAUGACGUCAAGUCCUCAUGGCCCUUAUAGGUGGGGCUACACACGUCAUACAAUGGCCGGUACAAAGGGCUGCGAAGCCGCGAGGUGGAGCGAAUCCCAGAAAACCUGUCUCAGUCCGGAUUGAAGUCUGCAACUCGACUUCAUGAAGGCGGAAUCGCUAGUAACCGCGAAUCAGCAGGUCGCGGUGAAUACGUUCCCGGGCCUU